GCCCGCUUGGCUCAGUGGUAAAGCGUCUCACUCGUAUGCGAUAUCUGAAAUGAGAAGAUCAUCAGUUCAAUUCUGAUAGUGGGCA
rnacentral:tRNA from 1 species